ACUGUGUUAAAUGUUUUGAGAGCAGUAACCUGAGAAAUGUUGGAUAGAGGGAUCAGCCAAUAAUUUAAGCAUCAGCAGAAGAAUUUGCACGUGUACGCCUCGGAGCAGUUGGUUUAAUAGUUUUCAAGACAUCAGGCACCUUUCGUGAAUUACGAACGCUAUAAUGAAUAGAGAGGAUGUGGAGAGAUGUUUAUGAACAUGCCCUGGACCUCUUCUAUCAGAUCUUCACUUCAUCAGAUCUUCACUUCAUCGGAAGAGCAGGGAACACUGAAUCCAGACAAUGAAGUCCAUCUUUUCGCUCUGCACAAGAUCUUCCUUCCACUGACAAAGCCUUGACUCUUUCCGAGAUGCUUGGAACUUCCAUGGUCUUAGAACUGAAAGGAAUCAGUCCCCACAGCAACUCUGGAGAAGUUACAGAGAGCCAGGCCCUGAGGAGGAUCCUACUGAGGUUCCUGAGGUGUAUGGGAUUGACUGUAACGGACCUCACGGCCUUCAUAGAGGGACUGUGUCAGUCCCCGAGGUUCAGCUGGCCCGUGAGCUCUCAGAUGAAGAGGUUGCAGUUUUGCCAGCUCCAGGAGUUUCUGUUACUGAUGCACUUAGACUAUAUGUAGAGACUGUGGAAGUGUUAUCAAGAAUCUUAGCAGACUGAUGUCCAACCCAUGUUUUUUAUUUGUUGUGUUAGAACAAGCAAGGACAAACUGAAAAAGUUUACUUUCCUUAAAAAAAAAAGAAGAAAAAAGCUUCUGAAGCUUCCUGUCUCAUUAUGGUCCACAGAAUGACUAACAUGAAUGCUGUACUGUUAGCACUGAAGGUGCAGAACUGUUGGAUUUCAGUAAAUGGAAAAAAUAUGUAGAAUAAAAAAAUUGUCAAC